AUGCGUGACGCCGCCCACGUAUCCGGUGAUCCUGCGCAGGAAGGGGACGAUGAACCGGUCGUAGAGGACGAGGAUCACCAUCUGGAAGACGGUGGGGAUGACGAAGAGCGUGGCCGGGGAGAUGUGGACGCCGCCGAGCUUGGUGUCCAUGGUGUUCCCCUGCUGCACGGUGAAGUUGAGGAUGAGCGGCACCGGGAUGUAUCCGAGGACGGAGCUGAGGAAGAUGGGCACCAUCCGGAGGACGAUCUUGGUCUCCUCCACCUGGGUCACGGUGCACAGCGACCAUGGCCCUGUCUCUCCGGUCUCUACCACCGAUUUCUCCAGGCACCUGUAGGAAGCUUUAGCUUCAGCCAACUCUUCAAGGACAUUGUGAUCAUCUUGGUUCAGUUGCUUCAGUUCACUUGCGUUGUCAGGCAACUGAACAUUUCUUUUCUUGAAUGCCACCACAAGAACCUGUUUGAUGCCAAGUGUUUGGUCGAAUUGCCAUUACUACUACUAGGAACGGAUUGUAAUCUUGAAUGA
rnacentral:rRNA from 1 species